UGUGUGCGUCUCAGCACCCCUGUCAGAAAGGGGGUACCAGGGGGAUGAGGAGGGAGGGACGGUGCAGGGAGCGUUUCGCAACUCAGGAAGCAGGCUGGGCGCUGGUGUGUUACUCACCGCAGGCCGGCAUCUAGGACCCGGGGAGUCUGACCCGAAGCCCCUUCCCUGGUCCUCACCACCUCCUGCUGUCUCGUCCACCGGGAGGAUGUGUGUAGGGGAUGACACCUGGCAGCUUUUGUAACGCUAGUGCUGCCCACCGAUGUGUAUUUCCACCAUCUUUGGCCCACAGGACGCACACGCAAACACGCUGCUUCACAGUAAGUCUUCCACGCUCACAACUGCUGGGAGCUUGGGAUCUCUGCAUUUCUGUAGCUCCAGUGUUUGGCUGGAGGGAUGAUUAGUGAUAAAAGCAGAAAACAAAUGGUCUGAAAUCCAGAUACCCCAGCCAGGCCUCAGAUGGCUAAGUCCCAGUAGCUGUAAUAAUAAAAUAAUGACAUCACCCUUCUCUGCGAUCCAAUGUGGUGUGACAGGAAAAUAAACUGCUUAUCAUUUGCGAGUCCCAGCUAUAUUUUAUAUUGUUUUGCUUCUUUUCCAUGUGUUUUUCUCAGUUGCUUCAACACGAAGAGCUAUAUUCCUGUCAGUUUUAACCCCACUUUCAGCCUGGGAAACAUUCCUCAGCUCACUUAGAGAUACCUCUAACUUGCUUUUCCAAUUGCUGCAAAAGCUCAGAACAUGUCUGGGACCUAACCACCUUCUUCCCCAUGCUGGUGACAGAGGAGUGGGUACCCUGAGCCCUGGAGAUGAGAUCUCUGGAAGGUGGUCUGUUCUCAGCUGACCCUCCUGGGUGUCUCUGGACCCCGUAUCAGACUUCGUUGCCGCACACCCAUUACAGAAGUUUAAGGAAUUUUGAGGUAAGCAUGAGAGCAUUAGCAGGCUCAUUAGCCUGCUUCCUGAGUCAGCUGUCAACAUUCUGCCUUCAAAUUCAAGAUGAAUGAAAACAGAACAUGAGCGGAAAGACUUGUGAUCGACUGGGGAGGUGGGCAUUCCUCCAGGGUCUGGUUGACUUGAAUUAUUUUGUGUAUCAGGCUGUCUGAAGUUUAUUGCAUCUUUCCAUUGGGGUUUUGAUAUUCUGGAAUUCCCAAAACCUGUGUGAGAGUAGGGUUGUGGGCCCAGGAGAUGGUAAAUUCCUUACCGGCAAAAAGAAUGUACUUUCCCAGUGAUGCUUGCAGCUCAUGGCAAUGUUCUUGCUGAACGUUGGGUGCCAAGUGAAUGUUGGUUGAAGUGAAACUGCAGUUUGAUCUGAGUAGCUCAUUACAGUAUCACACACACCUAGGUCUCUUCCACCAUUGACUUCUCUGAGUCAUCGUAUAGAAUGGGGAAUACGGCCAAAAUUUUAUAAUAACUCUAAAUGGAGUAUAAUAAAAAAAUAUAGAAUCACA
rnacentral:lncRNA from 1 species